rnacentral:rRNA from 1 species
GGUUAAGCGACUAAGCGUACACGGUGGAUGCCCUGGCAGUCAGAGGCGAUGAAGGACGUGCUAAUCUGCGAUAAGCGUCGGUAAGGUGAUAUGAACCGUUAUAACCGGCGAUUUCCGAAUGGGGAAACCCAGUGUGAUUCGUCACACUAUCAUUAACUGAAUCCAUAGGUUAAUGAGGCGAACCGGGGGAACUGAAACAUCUAAGUACCCCGAGGAAAAGAAAUCAACCGAGAUUCCCCCAGUAGCGGCGAGCGAACGGGGAGCAGCCCAGAGCCUGAAUCAGUGUGUGUGUUAGUGGAAGCGUCUGGAAAGGCGCGCGAUACAGGGUGACAGCCCCGUACACAAAAAUGCACAUGCUGUGAGCUCGAUGAGUAGGGCGGGACACGUGGUAUCCUGUCUGAAUAUGGGGGGACCAUCCUCCAAGGCUAAAUACUCCUGACUGACCGAUAGUGAACCAGUACCGUGAGGGAAAGGCGAAAAGAACCCCGGCGAGGGGAGUGAAAAAGAACCUGAAACCGUGUACGUACAAGCAGUGGGAGCACAGAGCAAUCUGUGUGACUGCGUACCUUUUGUAUAAUGGGUCAGCGACUUAUAUUCUGUAGCAAGGUUAACCGAAUAGGGGAGCCGAAGGGAAACCGAGUCUUAACUGGGCGUUAAGUUGCAGGGUAUAGACCCGAAACCCGGUGAUCUAGCCAUGGGCAGGUUGAAGGUUGGGUAACACUAACUGGAGGACCGAACCGACUAAUGUUGAAAAAUUAGCGGAUGACUUGUGGCUGGGGGUGAAAGGCCAAUCAAACCGGGAGAUAGCUGGUUCUCCCCGAAAGCUAUUUAGGUAGCGCCUCGUGAAUUCAUCUCCGGGGGUAGAGCACUGUUUCGGCAAGGGGGUCAUCCCGACUUACCAACCCGAUGCAAACUGCGAAUACCGGAGAAUGUUAUCACGGGAGACACACGGCGGGUGCUAACGUCCGUCGUGAAGAGGGAAACAACCCAGACCGCCAGCUAAGGUCCCAAAGUCAUGGUUAAGUGGGAAACGAUGUGGGAAGGCCCAGACAGCCAGGAUGUUGGCUUAGAAGCAGCCAUCAUUUAAAGAAAGCGUAAUAGCUCACUGGUCGAGUCGGCCUGCGCGGAAGAUGUAACGGGGCUAAACCAUGCACCGAAGCUGCGGCAGCGACACUGUGUGUUGUUGGGUAGGGGAGCGUUCUGUAAGCCUGCGAAGGUGUGCUGUGAGGCAUGCUGGAGGUAUCAGAAGUGCGAAUGCUGACAUAAGUAACGAUAAAGCGGGUGAAAAGCCCGCUCGCCGGAAGACCAAGGGUUCCUGUCCAACGUUAAUCGGGGCAGGGUGAGUCGACCCCUAAGGCGAGGCCGAAAGGCGUAGUCGAUGGGAAACAGGUUAAUAUUCCUGUACUUGGUGUUACUGCGAAGGGGGGACGGAGAAGGCUAUGUUGGCCGGGCGACGGUUGUCCCGGUUUAAGCGUGUAGGCUGGUUUUCCAGGCAAAUCCGGAAAAUCAAGGCUGAGGCGUGAUGACGAGGCACUACGGUGCUGAAGCAACAAAUGCCCUGCUUCCAGGAAAAGCCUCUAAGCAUCAGGUAACAUCAAAUCGUACCCCAAACCGACACAGGUGGUCAGGUAGAGAAUACCAAGGCGCUUGAGAGAACUCGGGUGAAGGAACUAGGCAAAAUGGUGCCGUAACUUCGGGAGAAGGCACGCUGAUAUGUAGGUGAAGUCCCUCGCGGAUGGAGCUGAAAUCAGUCGAAGAUACCAGCUGGCUGCAACUGUUUAUUAAAAACACAGCACUGUGCAAACACGAAAGUGGACGUAUACGGUGUGACGCCUGCCCGGUGCCGGAAGGUUAAUUGAUGGGGUCAGCGCAAGCGAAGCUCUUGAUCGAAGCCCCGGUAAACGGCGGCCGUAACUAUAACGGUCCUAAGGUAGCGAAAUUCCUUGUCGGGUAAGUUCCGACCUGCACGAAUGGCGUAAUGAUGGCCAGGCUGUCUCCACCCGAGACUCAGUGAAAUUGAACUCGCUGUGAAGAUGCAGUGUACCCGCGGCAAGACGGAAAGACCCCGUGAACCUUUACUAUAGCUUGACACUGAACAUUGAGCCUUGAUGUGUAGGAUAGGUGGGAGGCUUUGAAGUGUGGACGCCAGUCUGCAUGGAGCCGACCUUGAAAUACCACCCUUUAAUGUUUGAUGUUCUAACGUUGACCCGUGAUCCGGGUUGCGGACAGUGUCUGGUGGGUAGUUUGACUGGGGCGGUCUCCUCCUAAAGAGUAACGGAGGAGCACGAAGGUUGGCUAAUCCUGGUCGGACAUCAGGAGGUUAGUGCAAUGGCAUAAGCCAGCUUGACUGCGAGCGUGACGGCGCGAGCAGGUGCGAAAGCAGGUCAUAGUGAUCCGGUGGUUCUGAAUGGAAGGGCCAUCGCUCAACGGAUAAAAGGUACUCCGGGGAUAACAGGCUGAUACCGCCCAAGAGUUCAUAUCGACGGCGGUGUUUGGCACCUCGAUGUCGGCUCAUCACAUCCUGGGGCUGAAGUAGGUCCCAAGGGUAUGGCUGUUCGCCAUUUAAAGUGGUACGCGAGCUGGGUUUAGAACGUCGUGAGACAGUUCGGUCCCUAUCUGCCGUGGGCGCUGGAGAACUGAGGGGGGCUGCUCCUAGUACGAGAGGACCGGAGUGGACGCAUCACUGGUGUUCGGGUUGUCAUGCCAAUGGCACUGCCCGGUAGCUAAAUGCGGAAGAGAUAAGUGCUGAAAGCAUCUAAGCACGAAACUUGCCCCGAGAUGAGUUCUCCCUGACUCCUUGAGAGUCCUGAAGGAACGUUGAAGACGACGACGUUGAUAGGCCGGGUGUGUAAGCGCAGCGAUGCGUUGAGCUAACCGGUACUAAUGAACCGUGAGGCUUAACCUU